rnacentral:rRNA from 1 species
AGGAUCAUUAUCGAAAUAGCAUGACGAGUUGUCGCUGGCCUUUUGGCCGUGCACGCUCCGUCCUCCUUCAUUUCUCCAUCUAUUUGUGCACCAUUCGCGUGGAUCUCGAGAGAUAUGUCUCCCUCGGUUUAUUAGGACUGCUUUGCAAACAUUUGUGGGCUUUCCUUGUCACGCCUUAUCUUCANAUACACCAGUGUAAACAUUCAGAAGGAUAUGAAAUCAUAAUACAACUUUCAGCAACGGAUCUGUUGGCUCUNGCAUCGAUGAAGAACGCAGCGAAAUGCGAUAAGUAAUGUGAAUUGCAGAAUUCAGUGAAUCAUCGAAUCUUUGAACGCAUCUUGCGCUCCUUGGUAUUCCAAGGAGCAUGCCUGUUUGAGUGUCAUUAAUAUCUCAACCACACCCAAGGGGCGUGGCUUGGAUUUGGGGGUUACAGGCUCUGAAUUGUAGUCUGCUCCCCUGAAAUGUAUGAGUGGUAAUGGACCUCUCUGUUAGAUGUGAUACAUAUCUGCAUCUGAUCGAGCGGUUUGCCGCUAUAAGAGUCGUUGGAUUGAUAAAC